GUGCAGUGUCAGCCUGCAGUCAUGCUACGUCUCUGCUACUGCCUAGGAGUGGAACCAUAGCGCCCACAACUACAUGUUCCUGAGAAUGGAGUGGUAGCUGGAGCAUGGCAAGGCCAUAAUAUCUUUUCUGCCCUGGUUUUUAAGGAGUUCGUGUUGUCAUGUCUCUAAACUGUGAUCCCCAGAUGUACAAGCAAGGAGAAGAAAAGAGAAUUCUGAAUAUCCCCA
rnacentral:lncRNA from 1 species